rnacentral:rRNA from 1 species
UACAGAGGGUGCGAGCGUUAAUCGGAAUUACUGGGCGUAAAGCGCACGUAGGCGGCUUGGUAUGUCGGGUGUGAAAUCCCCGGGCUCAACCUGGGAACUGCAUCCGAAACUGCCUUGCUCGAGUAUGGGAGAGGGAAGUGGAAUUCCCGGUGUAGUGGUGAAAUGCGUAGAUAUCGGGAGGAACACCAGUGGCGAAGGCGACUUCCUGGCCUGUUCUUGACGCUGAGGCGCGAAAGCUAGGGUAGCAAACGGGG